rfam:Sus scrofa chromosome 7.
CAAAAGGCUCUUUUCAGAGCCACUUCUAUCAUCAUAAAAAGGUGA